GACGAACGCUGGCGGCGUGCCUAAUGCAUGCAAGUCGAACGCAGGGCCUUCGGGCUGCUGCGUGGCGCACGGCUGAGGAACACGUGGGUAAUCUGCCCUAGAGUGGGGGAUAACUUCGCGAAAGCGAAGCUAAUCCCGCAUACGAUCCGCAAGGAUGAAAGACGUAAGUCGCUCUGGGAUGAGCCUGCGGCCCAUCAGGUAGUUGGUAGGGUAAUGGCCUACCAAGCCAAUGACGGGUACCUGGUCUGAGAGGACGACCAGGCAGACUGGGACUGAGAAACGGCCCAGACUCCUACGGGAGGCAGCAGCAAGGAAUUUUCCCCAAUGGGCGCGAGCCUGAUGCAGCAACGCCGCGUGAGGAACGACGGCCUUCGGGUUGUAAACCUCUUUUAGUAGGGAAGAAGCGAAAGUGACGGUACCUGCAGAAAAAGCACCGGCUAACUACGUGCCAGCAGCCGCCGUAAGAC
rnacentral:rRNA from 1 species